rnacentral:rRNA from 1 species
GCUGCAUGGUUGUCGUCAGCUCGUGCCGUGAGGUGUCGGGUUAAGUCCCAUAACGAGCGCAACCCCUAUCAUUAGUUGCCAUCAGGUCAAGCUGGGGACUCUAAUGAAACUGCCUACGCAAGUAGUGAGGAAGGUGGGGAUGACGUCAAAUCAGCACGGCCCUUACGUCCAGGGCUACACACGUGCUACAAUGGCCGAUACAGAGGGCAGCUACCUGGUGACAGGAUGCAAAUCUCCAAAGUCGGUCUCAGUUCGGAUCGGAGUCUGCAACCCGACUCCGUGAAGUUGGAUUCGCUAGUAAUCGCGCAUCAGCCAUGGCGCGGUGAAUACGUUCCCGGGCCUU